rnacentral:rRNA from 1 species
GACGAACGCUGGCGGCGUGCUUAACACAUGCAAGUCGAACGGUGAACUCCGCUUGCGGGGGGAUCAGCGGCGAACGGGUGAGUAACACGUGGGCAACCUGCCCUCAGCUCUGGGAUAACUCCAAGAAAUUGGGGCUAAUACCGGAUAUGACCGCUGACCGCAUGGUCUGGUGGUGGAAAGAUUUAUCGGCUGGGGAUGGGCCCGCGGCCUAUCAGCUUGUUGGUGGGGUAGUGGCCUACCAAGGCGACGACGGGUAGCCGGCCUGAGAGGGUGACCGGCCACACUGGGACUGAGACACGGCCCAGACUCCUACGGGAGGCAGCAGUGGGGAAUAUUGCGCAAUGGGCGAAAGCCUGACGCAGCGACGCCGCGUGGGGGAUGACGGCCUUCGGGUUGUAAACCUCUUUCAGCAGGGACGAAGCGAAAGUGACGGUACCUGCAGAAGAAGCACCGGCCAACUACGUG